UACGUAGGGUGCGAGCGUUAAUCGGAAUUCCUGGGCGUAAAGCGUGCGCAGGCGGUUUUGUAAGCCAGGUGUGAAAUCCCCGGGCUCAACCUGGGAAUGGCAUUUGGGACUGCAAGGCUGGAGUGCGGCAGAGGAGACUGGAAUUCCUGGUGUAGCAGUGAAAUGCGUAGAUAUCAGGAGGAAUACCGAUGGCGAAGGCAGGUCUCUGGGCUGACACUGACGCUCAUGCACGAAAGCGUGGGGAGCAAACAGG
rnacentral:rRNA from 1 species